rnacentral:rRNA from 1 species
GAUGAACGCUGGCGGCGUGCUUAAUACAUGCAAGUCGAACGGACAGGCCCUGCUUUUGUGGGUCGCUCGUGUGGCGAACGGGUGAGUAACACGCGUGUAACCUCCCCUUGUCUUUGGGAUAACUUUUGGAAACUGGGGCUCAUACCGGAUAGGAGCUCUUGCUGCACGGUGGGGGUUGGAAAGUUUCGGCGGUUGUGGAUGGUAUCGCGGGUUAUCCGCUUGUUGGGGGGGUAGUGGCUUACAAAGGCUUUGACGGGUAGCCGGCCUGGGAGGGGGACCGGCCACAUUGGGACUGCGGUACGGACCAGUCUCCUACGGGAGGCAGCGGGGGAGAAUAUGACGCAAUAGGCGGAAGCGUGAUGCGGCAACGCCGCGUGCGUGAUGACGGCCUUCGAGUUGUAAACCGCUGUCUCCUGAGACGAAGCGUGAGUGACGGUAAUGAGUAAGAAAGCACCGGCUAACUACGUG